UGGGGAAUUUUGGACAAUGGGGGAAACCCUGAUCCAGCCAUCCCGCGUGUGCGAUGAAGGCCUUCGGGUUGUAAAGCACUUUUGGCAGGAAAGAAACGUCGCGGGUUAAUACCCCGCGGAACUGACGGUACCUGCAGAAUAAGCACCGGCUAACUACGUGCCAGCAGCCGCGGUAAUACGUAGGGUGCAAGCGUUAAUCGGAAUUACUGGGCGUAAAGCGUGCGCAGGCGGUUCGGAAAGAAAGAUGUGAAAUCCCAGAGCUUAACUUUGGAACUGCAUUUUUAACUACCGGGCUAGAGUGUGUCAGAGGGAGGUGGAAUUCCGCGUGUAGCAGUGAAAUGCGUAGAUAUGCGGAGGAACACCGAUGGCGAAGGCAGCCUCCUGGGAUAACACUGACGCUCAUGCACGAAAGCGUGGGGAGCAAACAGGAUUAGAUACCCUGGUAGUCCACGCCCUAAACGAUGUCAACUAGCCUGUUGGGGUCUUCGGACCUUGGUAGCGCAGCUAACGCGUGAAGUUGACCGCCUGGGGAGUACGGUC
rnacentral:rRNA from 1 species